rnacentral:tRNA from 1 species
GGCCGGAUAGCUCAGUCGGUAGAGCGUCGGACCGGUGUUCCGAAGCCCCGGGCUCGAGUCCCGGUCUGGCUG